rnacentral:rRNA from 1 species
AAAACAGCCCUACGGGAGGCAGCAGUGGGGAAUAUUGGACAAUGGGCGAAAGCCUGAUCCAGCAAUGCCGCGUGAGUGAUGAAGGCCUUAGGGUUGUAAAGCUCUUUUACCCGGGAUGAUAAUGACAGUACCGGGAGAAUAAGCUCCGGCUAACUCCGUGCCAGCAGCCGCGGUAAUACGGAGGGAGCUAGCGUUGUUCGGAAUUACUGGGCGUAAAGCGCGCGUAGGCGGUUUUUUAAGUCAGAGGUGAAAGCCCAGUGCUCAACACUGGAACUGCCUUUGAAACUGGAAAACUUGAAUCUUGGAGAGGUCAGUGGAAUUCCGAGUGUAGAGGUGAAAU